rnacentral:rRNA from 1 species
CCCUUAGAUGUCCUGGGCCGCACGCGCGCUACACUGAGUGUCUGAGAUACGAGUCUGCCUGGUCCGGCAAGGUCUAGGUAAUCGCUAAAAGACACAUCAUGCUUGGGAUAGAUUAUUGCAAAUAUUAAUCUUGAACGAGGAAUUCCUAGUAAGCGCAAGUCAACAGCUCGCGUUGAUUACGUCCCUGCCCUUUGUACACACCGCCCGUCGCUACUACCGAUUGGGAAAAUUUUAGAGAGUCCUGGACUGAUGAUUGUUCGGCUUCACGGCCUUACUUUCGUCGGGAAAGAAUUCGAUAACAUUUUUCUAGAGGAAGUAAAAGUCGUAACA